GAUGAACGCUGGCGGUGUGCCUAAUACAUGCAAGUCGAGCGAACAGACGAGGAGCUUGCUCCUCUGACGUUAGCGGCGGACGGGUGAGUAACACGUGGAUAACCUACCUAUAAGACUGGGAUAACUUCGGGAAACCGGAGCUAAUACCGGAUAAUAUAUUGAACCGCAUGGUUCAAUAGUGAAAGACGGUUUUGCUGUCACUUAUAGAUGGAUCCGCGCCGCAUUAGCUAGUUGGUAAGGUAACGGCUUACCAAGGCGACGAUGCGUAGCCGACCUGAGAGGGUGAUCGGCCACACUGGAACUGAGACACGGUCCAGACUCCUACGGGAGGCAGCAGUAGGGAAUCUUCCGCAAUGGGCGAAAGCCUGACGGAGCAACGCCGCGUGAGUGAUGAAGGUCUUCGGAUCGUAAAACUCUUUUAUUAGGGAAGAACAAAUGUGUAAUUAACUAUGCACGUCUUGACGGUACCUAAUCAGAAAGCCACGGCUAACUUCGUG
rnacentral:rRNA from 1 species